CCUACGGGGGGCUGCAGUGGGGAAUAUUGGACAAUGGGGGGAACCCUGAUCCAGCCAUGCCGCGUGUGUGAAGAAGGCCCUCGGGUUGUAAAGCACUUUCAGUGAGGAAGAACGCCUGGUGGUUAAUACCCAUCAGGAAAGACAUCACUCACAGAAGAAGCACCGGCUAACUCCGUGCCAGCAGCCGCGGUAAUACGGAGGGUGCGAGCGUUAAUCGGAAUUACUGGGCGUAAAGCGCGCGUAGGUGGCUUGAUAAGCCGGUUGUGAAAGCCCCGGGCUCAACCUGGGAACGGCAUCCGGAACUGUCAAGCUAGAGUGCAGGAGAGGAAGGUAGAAUUCCCGGUGUAGCGGUGAAACGCGUAGAGAUCGGGAGGAAUACCAGUGGCGAAGGCGGCCUUCUGGACUGACACUGACACUGAGGUGCGAAAGCGUGGGUAGCAAACAGGAUUAGAUACCCUAGUAGUC
rnacentral:rRNA from 1 species